GUUUUGAGCCUGCAAUAGAGGAGGAAAACACAUGCCUUGGGAAAAAAAACUCAUGUUCCACCCAGAUAGUUUUUCACAACAUUUCCUCUCUGCACCGGUGUCCCUCCUCUAGACCAACUUAGUUGUGAGAAAGUCUGUAUCUUUAAAGGAGGUAGCCGUAUGACUGUAUCAUUGAUUGAUAUUCUCCUAAUUAGUGAUUAACUGACGGUUCUUAGCAGGAUUGGGCUAAAUGCUGAAAUAAAAACCUGAGGUGAAGAACUAUCUUUCCCUGCAGUAGAAGUCCAUGUGAGAGGAGAGAGCUGUAUGAUAGUAGGAGGACAAGACACCAAUAAGAGACUCACAGCAGGUGGGCUUUUGUCCUCUCCAGAGCACCAACUGAAACAGACAGAAUGAACAGAGCACAAGGACUGUGUUUCACUUUACUACUACUGGGGUGUGUACAUGGGAGCAAGUCUCCUCAAAGAGAAGUGGUAUUCAGUAGAGGGAUCCAACUCUUUGUUGAAGGUUUGAACCCUUCUAAUCCCUCUGUAGUAAUCCUCUCCUCAUUUGGGCACAACCCUGGUGCCUCACCUACACUGGUGUGUAUACUCAGUGGUUUAAAAACACACCAUUUGUUGGACAUCAUUUGGUGGAUCAACGACACAGUGGUAACCCCUGAGAACAAUGCCAUUCGGAGUUCCAGGCGAAGUGAUGGCACGUACAUAACUACCGGACUGUGGACUAUGUCUGGAAAGGACUGGAAUCCCUAUAGUAACUAUGAGUGUGGAACCAGACAUGAAGGAAAGCAUUAUAGAAAUGGUACACAGCCCUCGCUUUGCAUGGAUUUUACUUGAUUACAAAUAUUUGUUAACCUAUCAAAAAUUAUCCUUAGCAUUUCAUGUACAAUCUUUACUAUUAUUAAAGUAUUCAUGAUGUUUCUUGAGUAUUUUAUUGAAAGAGCAGGUAGCCUAGUGGUUAGCUCUUUGGAAUAGUAACUGAAAGGUUGCAAGUUCAAAUCCCUGAGCUGACAAGGUACAAAUCUGUUAUUCUGCCCCUUAACAGGCAGUUAACCCACUGUUCCUAGGCUGUCAUUGAAAAUAAGAAUUUGUUCUUAACUGACUUGCCUAGUUAAAGAAAAAAUUACAAAUAAAUAAAUAAAGAUUAUCUUUCUGGUUGCCAUUACCAUAUGUCGACACUAGAUGGCGUUCACUGCCUGCAGUUGUUGAGUGAUGGUAAGUUCAUAUGCAUGGCAUCUCUGUUUCACAAACUCACUGAUUUCAACUGAGACAAUGCUGCUCUUGUUCCUGGAUGUAUCUCUCAACAACAAGCUGUUAUACAAAUGGUCAUAUGCACAAAGCUGAAUACUCUUUAGUUUAUGUUCCAAACAACAAUUUUAUUUCUGUCAGCCCUCUAAAAAUAUUUUUGAAUAAUGUAUUAAGUUCAUAAUAUCAUCAAUAAAAUAUACAAAUAAUUAACUAAUCUGCAUUGCACUUUCACAUACAAACUCACAACCACUUCUUUAUUUUGUCCUGGUCAUGCAUGCGUUUGCUUAUAUUCUUGGGGCCACUGGUUGCUGACUGAUUCCUGUGAAGAAUUAACCAACACAACCCAAUUGCCAUUAUCAGCCAAUGAAAUUGUUGUUGGAGCUCAGCUAACUGCUUGCUGUGUGAGUAAAUUCAGCAGAUUUGGGACACUUGUUGAAGAAACCUUGGAGAUAUGAGGAAUGAGAUGGGAUGGGAAAGUGUGUGUCUGUCCAAUUUGAAAGGCAACGUAUUUUGGCAGUACACCCAGAAAAAAAGUUAUAUCUAGAACCUUGGGUUCUUUGGCUGUCCCCAUAGGAUAACCCUUUCAAGAAACCUUUUUUGUUCCAGGUAGAAGAACCCUUUUGGGUUCCAUAAAGAAUCAUUUUUACAGAGAGUUCUACAUGGAACCCAAAAUGGUUCUACCUGGAUCCAAAAAAGGUUCAUCUAUAGCUAAAUAUAGGUCAGCAAAUGGGGAGUUUCUGAUUCCUACAAGAGUACAAAACAUGUAUUCAGGUAAAAAGCUUAUGUCUUAAUUAAAAUCAAAUGUUAUUUUACACAUGUGCCGAAUACAACCUUACAGUGAAAUGCUUACUUACAAGCCCUUAACCAACAAUGCAGUUUCAAGAAAAAUACCUUUAAAAAAAAGAAAUAUUAGUAACAAAUUAUUAAAGAGCAGCAGUAAAAUAACAAUAAUAUACAUGGGUUACUGGUUUAGAGUCAAUGUGCAGCACCGGUUAGUCAAGGUAGUUGAGGUAAUAUGUACAUGUAGGUAGAGUUAUUAUAGUGACUAUGCAUAGAUAAUAAACAGAGAGUAGCAGCAGCGUAAAAGAGUGUGGGUAGCCAUUUGAUUAG